GCGGAAAUAGCUCAGUUGAUAGAGCACUAGCCUUCCAAGCUGGGGGUCGCGGGUUUUAUCCCGGUUUUCCGCUCCA
rnacentral:tRNA from 1 species